rfam:Fukomys damarensis contig90631, whole genome shotgun sequence.
CCAAAGGCUCUUUUCAGAGCCAUCCACAUUUUCAAGUAAAAGAGC